rnacentral:rRNA from 1 species
UACGUAGGGUGCGAGCGUUAAUCGGAAUUACUGGGCGUAAAGCGUGCGCAGGCGGUUUUGUAAGCCAGAUGUGAAAUCCCCGGGCUUAACCUGGGAAUGGCAUUUGGGACUGCAAGGCUGGAGUGUGGCAGAGGAGACUGGAAUUCCUGGUGUAGCAGUGAAAUGCGUAGAUAUCUGGAGGAAUACCGGUGGCGAAGGCGGCAUCCUGGACCGACAUUGACGCUGAGGAGCGAAAGCUAGGGGAGCAAACGGGG